GACGAACGUUGGCGGUGCGCUUUAUGCAUGCAAGUCGAGCGAGAAGCAGUUGUUCCGUAAGGUUCAGCUGUGGACAGCGGCGAACGGGUGCGUAACACGUGAGAAACCUGCCCCCCAGACCGGGAUAGCCCAGGGAAACUUGGAUUAAUACCGGAUACUCUCUUUGGACCGCAUGGUCCUUUGAGGAAAGGUCCGCUGCUGGGGGAUGGUCUCGCGGCCUAUCAGGUAGUUGGUGAGGUAACGGCUCACCAAGCCGAAGACGGGUAGCUGGUCUGAGAGGACGAUCAGCCACACUGGAACUGAGACACGGUCCAGACUCCUACGGGAGGCAGCAGCAGGGAAUAUUGCACAAUGGGCGAAAGCCUGAUGCAGCGACACCGCGUGCGGGAUGAAGGCCUUCGGGUUGUAAACCGCUUUCAGGAGGGAAGAAAAUGACGGUACCUCCAGAAGAAGGCCCGGCCAACUACGUGCCAGCAGCCGCGGUAAUACGUAGGGGCCAAACGUUGUCCGGAUUUAUUGGGCGUAAAGGGCUCGUAGGCGGUUCAACAAGUCGGUCGUGAAAGCCCGGGGCUCAACUCCGGGACGCCGGUCGAUACUGUUGUGACUAGAGUUCGGUAGAGGUGAGUGGAAUUCUCAGUGUAGCGGUGGAAUGCGCAGAUAUUGAGGGGAACACCAUUAGCGAAGGCGGCUCACUGGGCCGAUACUGACGCUGAGGAGCGAAAGCGUGGGGAGCAAACAGG
rnacentral:rRNA from 1 species